AGCAGCCGCGGUAAUUCCAGCUCCAAUAGCGUAUAUUAAAGUUGUUGCAGUUAAAAAGCUCGUAGUUGAAUUUCGGGGUUAGUAGGUUGGUCAUGCCUCUGGUAUGUACUGGUCUCACUGAUUCCUCCUUCCUGAUGAGCCGUAAUGCCAUUAAUUUGGUGUUGCGGGGAAUUUGGACUGUUACUUUGAAAAAAUUAGAGUGUUUAAAGCAGGCUUACGCUUGAAUACAUUAGCAUGGAAUAAUGAAAUAGGACGUUUGAUUCUAUUUUGUUGGUUUCUAGGAUCGACGUAAUGAUUAAUAGGGAUAGUUGGGGGCAUUAGUAUUCAAUUGUCAGAGGUGAAAUUCUUGGAUUUAUUGAAGACUAACUACUGCGAAAGCAUUUGCCAGGGAUGUUUUCAUUAAUCAAGAACGAAAGUUAGGGGAUCGAAGACGAUCAGAUACCGUCGUAGUCUUAACCAUAAACUAUGCCGACUAGGGAUCGGAUGAUGUUAAUUUUAUAAUGACUC
rnacentral:rRNA from 1 species